rnacentral:lncRNA from 1 species
AAUAUUGGUAAAAGAUAAUGAAAAUUAACGACAACAACUUGUCAACCUUCCUCAUCACAUUUACUGAUGUUUCUCUGUUAUUGUGUAUUUAAUAGACUCAAACAGUUAAAAAAAAUUCUUAAUUCUUCGAUAUUGAGUUAAAAUAGGUGAAAAGAUGAAAUUAUUUUUGAGGAAAUAUAAUAGAGGAUAAAAUAGUUAAAUAGGGAUCCAAAAAAUAAUCUUUUUUUUUUCGAAAAAUUAUUUAUUAGUACUG